rnacentral:rRNA from 1 species
UACAGAGGUCUCAAGCGUUGUUCGGAUUCAUUGGGCGUAAAGGGUGCGUAGGUGGUUGGGUAAGUCAAAUGUGAAAUCCCGGAGCUCAACUCCGGAACUGCAUUCGAUACUGCCCGGCUCGAGGAUUGGAGAGGAGACUGGAAUUCACGGUGUAGCAGUGAAAUGCGUAGAGAUCGUGAGGAACACCCGUGGCGAAGGCGGGUCUCUGGGCAAUUCCUGACACUGAGGCACGAAGGCCAGUGGAGCAAACGGG